CACGCACACGCACACACACACACACACACACACACACACGAGUGCUACAAAAAAAGAAACAGGGUGCAGUGCAGGCAUGGAGAAUAAUGGGGAGCAGAUGUGGAUAGGGUGAUUAGAGAAGGUCUCUCCAUGAAGGUGACAUCCCCACAUGAUGAUAAGGAGACACUCGUGAAACACAGGGUGGGGUAGGAGCAGUGUGUUGGGGUGUGAGUGUGCAUACACUGAGGAAAAGGGAAGUUGUAGAUUCUCUGGCAGAGGGAAGAACAGGUUGGUAGAAAACUCAACUGAUUCCAGGAGCUGAAAGAAGUUCUAUGUGGAUGAAGCGAAAGGGAAGAUGAUAUGGAAUGAGACUGGUUCAAAACACAUUAUCAGAAAAAGAGAAGUUGUCCAGUUAACCUCAAGUUUGCUGUGGUCUUUUAAAUCUGAUCCUCAUCCUUGCACGUCGCAGAUACUCCAAAGCUGCUCAUGCCCUAUACACGAUGAGAGAAAUGGCCAUUCCUUCCUUAUAAAAUGUGAACACAGUGAAUGUCACCUGAGACGUGUCGGCUGUUCUGAAAUGCAAGAUUAGAAAAUGAAAUUUCACCAAUAGUCAAAAUCGAAGGAUAACCUUCUGUGUCACAUUGAACUCUGGAAGCAAGUGUAAAUAAGAUAUGCCCUGCUGUGAACAAAAGUUGCUGGAAUCUGGAAGGUCCUCCUAGCCAAGGCUGCCUUUGAGGUUCACUCCAAAAGCUGAGCUGCCACUUGAGACACCUGGACUCAUGAUUUUGAGUGCCUAAAGUGCAGCAGCUCCAGUUCACAAGCACUAAUAUAAUUUUUGCAAACCAUACACCCACAACUGGCAUCAUAUACAACACUGACAUGAUUUCUUUUCUCCUAGAGUGUAUUGUUGGCUAAUUGCUCUCAGUCAUUAAGCUGGAAGUGACAUACUGGGGACACUGCUUUGGAGGAGUUGGGAACCACAGUGCACAGAGAACCAGAUGAUUUAAUUAUUUCUCACAUUUCUCUUUCCUUUGUAGUUAAUUAGCAAACAUUCCUUCCUCUACCUUAUCUCUUUGUUGAGGUUAUAUCAGCAAUUAUCUGCCCUCCAGUCUAUGCAAAACUAUCUGAAUAAUUCAUAAUGCAAAAGAGCUUAUCAACGUUCUUCCAUGUUCCAUUGCCCAAGGGUGAUUGAAAUAUUGCAAAUAAAUGGAAAAAUAGAGAGAUAAACAAAACCACCCAGAUUUAUGAGGUUAACCUACCGUGCAUGCUUAAUAUAUUUUUAACAAAGCUCUUCAGUCAUUAUUGCCACGUUAACGAGAACAUUGGCCUUUUGCUAUAACAUGUCUUCUGAACAUAUUCUUGCAUGUUAGUCUUUUUCAUGUUUCUCUGAAGUGGUCACAUAUCUGUCAGCUCCGUGGUCUGUCUUCUUCCAAUUCGGCCUGUUCCACAGGUGUGUGACCAUGUGCUGUAGUGGUUGCUGUGUGGCUUUGAAGUCACACAGAUCUGAGUUCUAGUCCUUGCCUACUGCUGAGCAAAUGUGAGCAAGUGUCUGUGCCUGAAAUUCUCAUGAAUAAAACAGGAAUAAUAAUACUCACCUUGUUGUUGAGAUGUUAUUAAUAUAAGGUGGUGUAAGCAAAGCAUUAGAACAGUGCCUGGCACAUAGUGAAUGAUUAUCAGCUUGUGUGCCUGCUGUAUACGCUGAACAACUCUUGUGUAGCUUGGGUCCACCUCCAGCUGCAGCUGUGUUUACCAGGAACCCAGUCAGCCACUGUCCUGAUAGUUAAAAACUCCUUAUUUGUGGACUUAACUGAUGCAUGUCACUUCCGUCUGUGAGGCCAGAUUUACACCAGUGACAUGGCAGUCUUUCUUUUUUUUUUUCUUAACACCUGGAGGUGACUUACUCCCAUGCCUCUGCUUCCAGAAACAUGAUAGAGUGUUUAUGGAGCUUUAUAGCACUUACCUUUACGUAAAGUCAAAUGUAAGAUAAGAGAACAGUUGUUUAUAACCACGAAGCAAGCCCUUUCAUGAACAUAGGCUUUACUUAACCGUCUUUAUUUCUGUGAACAUCUCCUCUUCCUAUUCUUAGAUGUAUCUCUUAUUUAUCAUUAAAGCAAAUUGCUUUUAAAAGAUCACAUUUUUUGACUCCGUGGUUCUCAACAACAACUGAGCUUCAAACUUACCUGUGUUGUUUAAGAUGAGAUAUAUACAUAUCUAAAAUAAAUAUAAAUAUGUAUGUUUAUAUUUUAAAAUGUAUGCAUACAAACAUACACCAACCCACCCAAGGCCCCACCCAAAACAUCCUGAGAAUCUCUGGGCAUGAUGGGGUGAACAGAAGGGGCUAAUGUUCCAUCCAGGUGAGGCUGUUAUGGACCUACGAUUAAGAAUCCCUUAAGAAUCCCAUUCGGUUAACUACUUAAAAUGGUUCCUAUCUGAAGGACAGUUUAUGAUUUGGGAAUUAAUCAGAAGGUCUUUUUUUCCCUUAAAUAAGUUUGCAGGCAAGAUGCUGCUAUUCCAAGUCUUCUGUUGCAAAUUAUGUCUUCCAUAGAAUGAAGCAUCCACAUGGUUCAUCAAAGCACAUUGUAAAUAAAAACACAUGUCCAUGGCUGGAAUGAGAGCAUUAGGACCAUCUAACUGCAUUCCACAGGAAUGAGUCUGCCUGACACCAUGCAAAGUGAUGGUAAAAACAA